rnacentral:rRNA from 1 species
UACGGAGGAUGCAAGCGUUAUCCGGAUUCAUUGGGUUUAAAGGGUGCGCAGGCGGAAUGAUAAGUCAGUGGUGAAAUCCUACGGCUCAACUGUAGAACUGCCAUUGAUACUGUCGUUCUUGAGUACACUUGGAGUGGGCGGAAUGUGUCAUGUAGCGGUGAAAUGCUUAGAUAUGACACAGAACACCGAUCGCGAAGGCAGCUCACUAAAUUGUAACUGACGCUCAGGCACGAAAGCGUGGGGAUCAAACAGG